UAGGUUGGUGCAAAAGUAAUUGUGGUUUUUGCCUUUAACGGUAAAAACUGCAAUAACUUUUGCACCAACCUAAUA
ensembl:miRNA